rnacentral:rRNA from 1 species
CACUCCUGCGGAAGGCAGCAGUGGGGAAUUUUGGACAAUGGGCGAAAGCCUGAUCCAGCAAUGCCGCGUGAGUGAAGAAGGCCUUCGGGUUGUAAAGCUCUUUUGUCAGGGAAGAAACGGUGAAAGCUAAUAUCUUUUGCUAAUGACGGUACCUGAAGAAUAAGCACCGGCUAACUACGUGCCAGCAGCCGCGGUAAUACGUAGGGUGCAAGCGUUAAUCGGAAUUACUGGGCGUAAAGCGUGCGCAGGCGGUUUUGUAAGUCUGAUGUGAAAUCCCCGGGCUCAACCUGGGAAUUGCAUUGGAGACUGCAAGGCUAGAAUCUGGCAGAGGGGGGUAGAAUUCCACGUGUAGCAGUGAAAUGCGUAGAUAUGUGGAGGAACACCGAUGGCGAAGGCAGCCCCCUGGGUCAAGAUUGACGCUCAUGCAUGAAAGCGUGGGGAGCAAACAGGAUUAGAUACCCCUGUAGUCCCAUGAU